UGGCGGCAUGCCUUACACAUGCAAGUCGAACGGCAGCAUGGAAGAGCUUGCUCUUCUGAUGGCGAGUGGCGAACGGGUGAGUAAAGCAUCGGAACGUACCGUGUAGUGGGGGAUAACGUAGCGAAAGUUACGCUAAUACCGCAUACGCACUGAGGUGGAAAGCAGGGGAUCGCAAGACCUUGCGCUAUACGAGCGGCCGAUGUCAGAUUAGCUAGUUGGUAGGGUAAAGGCCUACCAAGGCGACGAUCUGUAGCGGGUCUGAGAGGAUGAUCCGCCACACUGGGACUGAGACACGGCCCAGACUCCUACGGGAGGCAGCAGUGGGGAAUUUUGGACAAUGGGCGAAAGCCUGAUCCAGCCAUGCCGCGUGAGUGAAGAAGGCCUUCGGGUUGUAAAGCUCUUUCGGCUGGGAAGAAAUCGCACAGGCUAAUACUCUGUGUGGAUGACGGUACCAGCACAAGAAGCACCGGCUAACUACGUG
rnacentral:rRNA from 1 species